AAAACGACUCUCGGCAACGGAUAUCUCGGCUCUCGCAUCGAUGAAGAACGCAGCGAAAUGCGAUACUUGGUGUGAAUUGCAGAAUCCCGUGAACCAUCGAGUCUUUGAACGCAAGUUGCGCCCAAAGCCUUCGGGUCGAGGGCACGUCUGCCUGGGUGUCACGC
rnacentral:rRNA from 5 species